rnacentral:rRNA from 1 species
UACGAAGGGUGCAAGCGUUACUCGGAAUUACUGGGCGUAAAGCGUGCGUAGGCGGUUUGUUAGGUCUGAUGUGAAAGCCCUGGGCUCAACCUGGGAACUGCAUUGGAAACUGGCUUACUAGAGUGCGGUAGAGGGGUGUGGAAUUCCCGGUGUAGCAGUGAAAUGCGUAGAUAUCGGGAGGAACAUCUGUGGCGAAGGCGACACCCUGGACCAGCACUGACACUGAGGCACGAAAGCGUGGGGAGCAAACAGG